AACGUACCUUUUGGUUGAGAAUAGCGUCGGGAAACUGACGGUAAUACUCAAUAAAGUCGAGAGACCAAAGGUUUACUGCCGGAAGAGCGGCCGAUGCGAUAUUAGGUAGUUGGUAGGGUAAUGGCCUACCAAGGCUAAGACGGGUAGCUGGUCUGAGAGGAUGAUCAGCCACACUGGAACUGAGACACGGUCCAGACUCCUACGGGAGGCAGCAGUGGGGAAUCUUGCGCAAUGGGCGAAAGCCUGACGCAGCGACGCCGCGUGGGU
rnacentral:rRNA from 1 species